GGCCUCGUACCUCAGCUGGUAGAGCAUGCGCGUACAAAGCGUAGGCGGCGUCCAUGCGUGGGUUUGAAUCCCACCGAGGCUU
rnacentral:tRNA from 1 species